rnacentral:lncRNA from 1 species
UAAGGAUAGAAACCCGAUGAUCGUCCUCCAUGCGUUCGGAACAAGUUGCGCCGGGACGAGUUGGUACUCCCAGAGCAACUCGUUCACGAACCCAUGGAAGGAAAAUCGCUGGCCGGCCCAGAGUGCCUCCAAAUACACUCCGAUCCAGCCUAGGGGGGGGUUCGUCACCCGAUCCCCCAACCCGGCGGAUUCCAAACGGAACCCUCGCCGAGGAAAGAACCACUCCUCGGCCAUCUCCACCUCCUCCUCACUCA